GGAAUUAUGUGAGAAUCAUAAUGGCCGAAAGUCUAAGGUUUCCUGAGGAAGGUUCGUCCUCUCAGGGUUAGCCGGGAGCUAAGGUGAGGCGGAAACGCGUAGCCGAUGCACAUACGGUAGAAAUUCCGUAGCCUCCGAAGAUUUAAGCACAGGGACACUUUUGAAGGGCUGAGCCGGGCGUUGGUUGCCCCGGUCGAAAGGGACACGAGUGAGUGGAAGUCAGUUUGGAAAGAGGCGAGAAAAGCUGUGUGUAUAUGGAAGGAGCCCGUACCGCAAACCGACACAGGUAGACAGGAAGAAGAUUCUAAGGCCAGCGGGAGAAGGGUUGUUAAGGAACUCGGCAAGUUGACCCAGUAACUUCGGGAGAAGGGGUGCUUACGAAGGUAAGCCGCAGAGAAUAGGCCCAAGCGACUGUUUAGCAAAAACACAGCUCUAUGCUAAAUCGAAAGAUGACGUAUAUGGGGUGACACCUGCCCGGUGCUGGAAGGUUAAGAGGAGAUGUGAGAGCAUUGAAUUGAAGCCCCAGUAAACGGCGGCCGUAACAAUAACGGUCCUAAGGUAGCGAAAUUCCUUGUCAGGUAAGUUCUGACCCGCACGAAUGGUGUAACGAUUUGGGCACUGUCUCAACAACCCACCCGGCGAAAUUGUAGUACCGGUGAAGAUGCCGGUUACCCGCGACUAGACGGAAAGACCCCAUGGAGCUUCACUGCAGCUUAAUAUUGGAUUUCGGUAUUUCAUGUACAGGAUAGGUGGGAGACUGGGAAAUACAGGCGUCAGCUUGUAUGGAGUCAUUGUUGGGAUACCACUCUUGAGGUGCUGGAAUUCUAACCUGUGGCCUUGAAUCAGGUCAGGGGACAUUGUUAGGCGGGCAGUUUGACUGGGGCGGUCGCCUCCUAAAAGGUAACGGAGGCGCUCAAAGGUUCGCUCAGCAUGGACGGAAACCAUGCCAGAGAGUGCAAACGCAUAAGCGAGCCUAACUGCGAGACUGACGGGUCGAGCAGUAACGAAAGUUGGAGUUAGUGAUCCGGCGGUAUAUGUGAGUGGAAAUGCCGUCGCUCAACGGAUAAAAGCUACCCUGGAGAUAACAGGCUGAUCUCCCCCAAGAGUCCACAUCGACGGGGAGGUUUGGCACCUCGAUGUCGGCUCAUCGCAUCCUGGGGCUGAAUUCGGUCCCAAGGGUUUGGCUGUUCGCCAAUUAAAGCGGUACGCGAGCUGGGUUCAGAACGUCGUGAGACAGUUCGGUCCCUAUCUGUCGUGGGCGUUGGAGAUUUGAAAGGAGCUGUCCCUAGUACGAGAGGACCGGGAUGGACGCACCUCUGGUGCACCAGUUGUCACGCCAGUGGCACAGCUGGGCAGCUAUGUGCGGAACGGAUAAACGCCGAAAGCAUCUAAGCGUGAAGCCGCCCUUAAGAUAAGAUCUCCUUUAAGACCCCUUGUAGACUACGAGGUUGAUAGGUCUGAUGUGUAAGCAUGGUGACAUGUUUAGCUUGCAGAUACUAAUCGGUCGUUCGCUUUUCCAA
rnacentral:rRNA from 1 species